GCUGCCCAACAGAAUGACUGUCCCACCUGGGCUGUGAUCUAAUUUAUUUUCUUCCCUCCUUGCCAGGUUCCUGGGUACUGGCGCUGGGAGCCGGAGCAGCACCAUUGCUCACCCGUGUCAGAAGUUGGCUGCUUGCUGACAGUGCCGUGUGGUUCUGAGUGAGCUUUGCAUGUUAUCCCACUUGAUGAUGCCGGGAGUUGCUUUCCCUGUAACAGAAACAUAUGCCUUCCUGCUAAGAAAGGAGAAGUCCUUGCAAAAGCAAAGCUGCCCAAGCCCCAGGCUAGAAAAACUGAGUAGAAGCAACUGGCAUGGAAGAAAGGCCAGAAGAAGGGACAGAAGAUCUGUGGAAAACAUUGUAUAUCUAUCUGCAUCUGAAUUCCCAGGCUUUUCAAUUUUUUUAAAAAAAUCUUUACACCUCAGAAGUAUAUUUCUUCUGAAUUCAUGGGAGAGAUAAUGAAGAAAGAACUUGUUUUUAAAUGACACACUAAAGGACAGUGAUUCUCUUUGAAACACAAUCCAUUUUAGAAAACAUAUAUGGUUCUGAAACGUUGCUGCAACUUUCCACCAAAGAUUCCCAUGAGCUUGGCUGGGCCAAGGGCCCUGAGAGGUUGACUGAUAGAGGUCAGCAGCUCUAUGUAUGCACUGGUGUUCUUCCAGCUCUUCAGCACUGAAAGCACAACCUCUACCCCUUCGGUUUGGGUGAAUCCAAAAGGCAGUUUGGCCUGCAAAAUGGUCUUUACUUUAAAAAUCAGUAGACAUAAUCCCAGUGAAACAAAAAGUUAAUGCAAUUAGAUUGGAAAAUGUGGCAGUAUUUAUUAAAGUCAGAACAAGUAUCUAUGUCAUACAUUCUGGAAGCUCCUUCCUAUAUAUAAAUGAAAUGAAUGCACAGCUCUACAAAAAGUGAUAUGAAAGAGAAUUCAGAGCUUUAGGCCUGGUGACCAUCCAUAGUAAAUCUCACAAUGGAGUGCUAUGUGGAAGAGGGAGCAAGAGGGGAUAAACCCACCUACAUGCAACAACAUAGAUCUCAGAAAGUGUUAAGUGAAGGAAGUUAGGUACAAUUGCGUACAUGCUGAAUAUAAACUUCAAAAAACACUUGAAAACCUGUCAUUAAUAACAAGGUAAUGGAUACUGUGGGAAACAGGGGCCCAGAGGUCUGGUUGACGGCCGUGGCGGAGGAGCGAGUCUGAGCAAACAGACUUGUCAUGUACUCGGCAAACUGAGUGAGUCACCCUGCCCAGGCUGUCCCGCUCUGCCCCUCCCUCGGUGCCUCCCCUCUAUAAUCACGCCCCCUUUUGCCACGCCCCUAGCCUGCUCUAUAAAAUGCCUGGUACUUCUGCAAUAAAGUAGAUCUGCGCCAUCAGCCUGGUCUCUGGUGUCUUCUUUUCACCGUGUCGCCGCUUACCACGGGCGCAGGUCCCUCGACCAGAGAAGUUCGACCUCAG
rnacentral:lncRNA from 1 species